rnacentral:rRNA from 1 species
AUUGAACGCUGGCGGCAGGCCUAACACAUGCAAGUCGAGCGGAUGAAGAGAGCUUGCUCUCUGAUUUAGCGGCGGACGGGUGAGUAAUGCCUAGGAAUCUGCCUGGUAGUGGGGGAUAACGUUCCGAAAGGAACGCUAAUACCGCAUACGUCCUACGGGAGAAAGCAGGGGACCUUCGGGCCUUGCGCUAUCAGAUGAGCCUAGGUCGGAUUAGCUAGUUGGUGAGGUAAUGGCUCACCAAGGCGACGAUCCGUAACUGGUCUGAGAGGAUGAUCAGUCACACUGGAACUGAGACACGGUCCAGACUCCUACGGGAGGCAGCAGUGGGGAAUAUUGGACAAUGGGCGAAAGCCUGAUCCAGCCAUGCCGCGUGUGCGAAGAAGGUCUUCGAAUUGUAAAGCACUUUAAGUUGGGAGGAAGGGCAGUAAGUUAAUACCUUGCUGUUUUGACGUUACCGACAGAAUAAGCACCGGCUAACUUCGUGCCAGCAGCCGCAGUAACAC